GAUGAAGAACGUAGCGAAAUGCGAUAAGUAAUGCGAAUUGCAGAAUUUCCGUGAGUCAUCGAAUCUUUGAACGCACAUUGCGCCCGCCGGCAUUCCGGCGGGCAUGCCUGUUCGAGCGUCAUUUCAACCCUCAAGCCCUCUUCAAUGCUAGGCUUGGUGUUGGGGGAUCGCCCACCUGCCCUGCGCCCAGCGCGCAGGUAAGGAGGCGACCCCUGAAAACUAGUGGCGGUUCCGCCCGCGGCAGCCCUUGCGUAGUAGCACAAACCUCGCACGUGGAGCCCGGCGGCAGCCCUGCCGUUAAACACCCCCCCACAAAACUCUGUUUUUGUGUUCCAUGAGUUGACCUCGGAUCAGGUAGGAAUACCCGCUGAACUUAAGCAUAUCAAUAAGCGGAGGA
rnacentral:misc_RNA from 1 species